rnacentral:rRNA from 1 species
CCUACGGGCGGCAGCAGUGAGGAAUAUUGGUCAAUGGGCUUACGCCUGAACCAGCCAAGUCGCGUGAGGGAAGACUGCCCUAUGGGUUGUAAACCUCUUUUGUCAGGGAGCAACGCCGGCUACGUGUAGCCUGACGGAUAGUACCUGAAGAAAAAGCAUCGGCUAACUCCUUGCCAGCAGCCGCGGUAAUACGGAGGAUGCGAGCCUUAUCCGGCUUUAUUGGGUUUAAAGGGUGCGUAAGCGGGAUGCCAAGUCAGCGGUAAAAUCGCGGGGCUCAACCUCGCUCCGCCGUUGAAACUGGCAGUCUUGAGUGGGCGAGAGGUAGGCGGAAUGCGUGGUGUAGCGGUGAAAUGCAUAGAUAUCACGCAGAACUCCGAUUGCGAAGGCAGCAUACCGGCGCCCAACUGACGCUGACGCACGAACGCGUGGGUAUCGAACAGGAUUAGAUACCCUAGUAGUC